rnacentral:rRNA from 1 species
AGAGUUUGAUCCUGGCUCAGAUUGAACGCUGGCGGCGUGCUUAACACAUGCAAGUCGAACGUGAAAGUCCUUCGGGGCGAGUAAAGUGGCGCACGGGUGAGUAACGCGUGGAUAAUCUACCCUUAAGAUGGGGAUAACGGCUGGAAACGGUCGCUAAUACCGAAUACGCUCCCGAUUUUAUCAUUGGGGGGAAAGAUGGCCUCUGCUUGCAAGCUAUCGCUUAAGGAUGAGUCCGCGUCCCAUUAGCUAGUUGGCGGGGUAACGGCCCACCAAGGCAACGAUGGGUAGCCGGUCUGAGAGGAUGACCGGCCACACUGGAACUGGAACACGGUCCAGACUCCUACGGGAGGCAGCAGUGGGGAAUAUUGCGCAAUGGGCGAAAGCCUGACGCAGCGACGCCGCGUGAGGGAUGAAGGUUCUCGGAUCGUAAACCUCUGUCAAGGGGGAAGAAACCCCCUCGUGUGAAUAAUGCGAGGGCUUGACGGUACCCCCAAAGGAAGCACCGGCUAACUCCGUGCCAGCAGCCGCGGU